GACGAACGCUGGCGGCGUGCCUAAUACAUGCAAGUCGAGCGGACUGACUGGGAGCUUGCUCUUGUUCGGUCAGCGGCGGACGGGUGAGUAACACGUGGGCAACCUGCCCGCAAGACCGGGAUAACUCCGGGAAACCGGAGCUAAUACCGGAUAACACCGAAGACCGCAUGGUCUUUGGUUGAAAGGCGGCGCAAGCUGCCACUUGCGGAUGGGCCCGCGGCGCAUUAGCUAGUUGGUGAGGUAACGGCUCACCAAGGCGACGAUGCGUAGCCGGCCUGAGAGGGUGACCGGCCACACUGGGACUGAGACACGGCCCAGACUCCUACGGGAGGCAGCAGUAGGGAAUCUUCCGCAAUGGGCGAAAGACUGACGGAGCGACGCCGCGGGAGCGAAGAAGGCCUUCGGGUCGUAAAGCUCUGUUGUGAGGGACGAAGGAGCGCCGUUUGAAGAAGGCGGCGCGGUGACGGUACCUCACGAGGAAGCCCCGGCUAACUACGUG
rnacentral:rRNA from 1 species